UGUACUGCAUGGGUACCUGUUCUCAGCAGUUCUCUUCUGCUAGUAUGUUUCAAGGAUGGUGCCAUAGAAAUUCAAUAUCGGCCAUUGUUGAUUUUCUUAAACCUGGUAUUUCUACUGAUGCAAUU